CGCGUGUAUGGUGUGUGUGGGUUUGCCUGUGCGCGUGUCCUCCCACCGGUUAGCCACUUGGUGCAGCUCUGGACAGAGGAGAUUGGUGAUUUGGGUGGUGCUGGGUACGCCUCGGCUCCUUGCAGUACGUCGUGAUGUUCCGGCUGUCGGUGCUGCUUCCCGCGAUUGCUGCUUGGGGCGCUGCUUCCCCGUCCAUACGAUCCGUCUCUCCCUUCCGUCUGCUCGAUCUACUGCUCUGCCCUGAUCUGGUUUGUAUUGUUUCAUCUGGUAUUGGAUUUGUUGUUUGCUGUCUUGGGCUGGGUUCAGUAUGGUGUUUCUCGAGCAACGAAGUCAUUGGAUUGGGCUCUGGUUUUUGUGAGAUGCCGCUUUCGUGCUUCAAUUGUUGUGGAGGGCGCCGUGCACUGCAGAGGAUGAGAUUGGCUGAUUGUUGUGGACUGAUGCUUCCCUUUAAGUUUAACUUGCUGCUUCAAUUGCCAACUUUGACAGGAGGAGAUUGAUCGGUGCACCCAUCGCAUAGAGCCGAAGGAAGUGUGUCAAUCCAGCAAUACAUGGAGCCGGCCAGCAACCAGCGACGCAACCACCAUUGUCUUACCUGCUCUAAGCGCACUCAAUUUUGUUUCAGAUGGAAUGCAUUCAGCAUACAUGGUGGAAGAGAGCUGCCCCCAGGCCCUCACUACUGAACAACCACACCCACAACAAGGACAUGGAGAUCUUCAUCACAGGGCAAGUGAAGGCAAGAAAUAAGGUGCCAAAGGAUUUAAUUAGGCGAAGAUGAUUAGGCUCUAGUACACACCGAGUGCAUCCAUAAGAGUCUACGUUAAAAUACUACAGAAGGGUUGAUGAUGUAUCUAUGGAUAUUAUACUGACUGAUAGUCCAUGGUUCAUUUGAGCUCACUUUGGCGCGAAUGUGGUGAUGAAGGAGAGCAAAAAGGAAAAAUAUGCUACGGUUUAUCUUGCAGCUCAAUUUUCAUACCCUUCCCAGCUUAAUAUACACUAUUUUCUUUGGACCAACUUUAUGUUGCCUUUUCUCUGUACACACCUCAUCAAAACUGAACCGAGAGGGAUCACAUAGGUUUAGAUGGCGCGUGUGAACAUGGUUUAAGAUAUGAUGUUUCUUGGAGAGAUCAAACUAACCUUUUCCAUUUCAUGGUUUAUUAACUAAAAUAUUGAUCGACGACACAUUCUGAUGCUUCAGCAUUGUUUUUGCCUUCUUGUCAUUGAAUUAGGUAAUAUAGUAAGAAAGCAUACUGGUGUCAUUAUGGUGAGUAGGGUCUGAUUGUGAGUUGCAGGCCAUCGUUGUCGGUCAGAGGAAGGGGCGGUCUCCAUCUGGUCGAACCUGGUGUGCGCGGCAAGGUAGCUAUGUAUGGAGGGAGAGGCAAUUUGGGGACGACUUCUUGAUGAGUAGAAUUUACUAAGCAAUUAGAUCAAAUACGUAUAUAUAUUUAAUGCAAUGCUCUGUUCGGUAUCUGAAUGCUCAAGUUGGAAAGUUGUGUCAGCUUGACAAUUGUGAAAUCCCUGCUGGAGAAGUACUACAUUGAUCUCAAGCUAAUUGGCCGCCUUGAGGUUGGUAGCGAGACAGUGAUAGACAAAAGUAAAUCCAUCAAAACGUGGCUAAUGCAAUUUUUAGAGGAAACUGGUAAUACCGACAUCGAGGGAGUUUGACUCCAGUAAUGCAUGUUAUGGUGGAACAACUUCCCUCUUGAAUUGGUGUGACUUCGGUCCAAAGUCCAUGCUGGGAUGAACGUUACGGCCUUGUAGUCUGCACAGAUAGCACGGUUUAUGCAGAGGGACCAGCUCGACCUGGUGGAGCUGCUGCAGUUGCUAUGCUUAUUGGUCCAAAUGCACCUAUUUCUUUCGAAAUCAAAUAUAGAGCUUUUCACAUGACUCAUGUUUACGAUCUCUACAAGCCUCAUCUUGCAAGUGAAUAUCAGACCAAAAGUUCAAUCAAGAAUUUGAGAUCUGAACAAUAUUGCCUAAUACCCAGUUAUACAAGGAUCAAGUUUCAGAGAAUCAGAGAUCAACAACUUGCUAGUUAACCACUCGUCGCACAAUGUAAUUUACCCGCAAACUGACAGGCAUCAAUGCUACAGUUUGGAAGAAAAAGAGUGCUCCCUGGACUGUCAGGUUGUGUGAUCCUUUGAAUUGCAAACCAAAGCUACAAGAGCGUUCAGCCAUUGGAGCUGACGCUCAAGCUCCACGCCAAUGUGAAGAGCGCUAAGGCCGUAAACACAUAAUUAAGCAAUGCACACCUCAACUUACAAGACAACAUGAAGGAUUAUCAAUCUUUUAGCAGAUAAAUUUAAGACUUAAACGCUCUGAAUUUCUUCAUUUGCAUGAAAAAUGGUAUUGCAAGGCAGAUCAUUUUAUCUGUACAGUCAGCUCUCCAAAAGCACCCUAAAUUUCAGUGUAGAAUCAAAAUUGCUAAGAAUACCUGGAAUGGAAAUUCUUAGUGGCACGUGUAAGCUUUGCAGAUUGUUUGGUUUUUAAAUCUAUUAUUUUCUGAUAUAGAUUGCGAUAAUUUUGCAUUGAUGAUUGGUACUAGUACUUGUCAGUCCAACCAUUUACUACAGAACUCACAUAUGUACUGAUUAAGAGCUAGCUUAUAUGGAGCAAAAAUCAAGAAUUACCAGCAGUCAAAGCAAACACCAGAAUAAAAUUUGAAGCAGCAUGUCAGUAAACAAACUGCCAUGAACAAAACAAAGCUAGAUGGAAGAACGGAGCUGAUGUGUGGAGGCGGCAGAGAGACGGGGAGUAUGCAGGGUGGCAAGGGAGCCAGGGGGUGUUUGUGAGCUCUGUUCAGGGAGUUUAAAAGGAGCAAUUGUCCCAGCAUACAAAGCUGUAUGUCUUUCAGGGAUCUUUCAGACGGCAUGCUGCUCUUCAGAAACAUUGGGGCCAAUCAGCUCCGUUGCUCAUAUCUUUAGUACUCAUGCGCAGAGUGAACGUUCAUGCUGAUAAUGCAUUUGCAGAACAAAUAUUCUGAGCUAUUUCCUUGUGAGGAGAUUAUAAGAAAAACAUCAGCAACACUCCCAC
rnacentral:rRNA from 1 species